rnacentral:tRNA from 1 species
GCCCGGAUGGCGGACUUGGCAGACGCAGGGGGCUUAAACCCCCCGACUCGCAAGGGUUUACGGGUUCAAGUCCCGUUCCGGGCAC